rnacentral:rRNA from 1 species
GCUUGUCUCAAAGAUUAAGCCAUGCAUGUCUAAGUAUAAGCAAUUAUACAGCGAAACUUGCGAAUGGCUCAUUAUAUAAGUUAUCGUUUAUUUGAUAGUACCUUACUACUUGGAUAACCGUGGUAAUUCUAGAGCUAAUACAUGCUAAAAAUCCCGACUUCGGAAGGGAUGUAUUUAUUAGAUUAAAAACCAAUGCCCUCUGGGCUCCUUGGUGAUUCAUAAUAACUUUUCGAAUCGCAUGGCCUUGUGCCGGCGAUGGUUCAUUCAAAUUUCUUCCCUAUCAACUUUCGAUGUUUGGGUAUUGGCCAAACAUGGUCGCAACGGGUAACGGAGGGUUAGGGCUCGACCCCGGAGAAGGAGCCUGAGAAACGGCUACUACAUCCAAGGAAGGCAGCAGGCGCGCAAAUUACCCAAUCCCGAUUCGGGGAGGUAGUGACAAUAAAUACUGAUACCAGGGCUCUUUUGGGUCUUGUAAUUGGAAUGAGUACAAUUUAAAUCUCUUAACGAGGAACAAUUGGAGGGCAA